AUGUAUAGCCUGUUACAUGGGAAGCAGAGAUAUUUCAAAGUGAGGAUGAUUGAAACAGAGUUUAGAGUUACUUGUCAGAGAUCAGAAGAAUACAUGCAAGAGGCUGGAGAUCCACAGUACAGAGAUGAUCCUCAAACACUGUGUCAAGGCAAGCCUGCGUUCCGAGAGGAUCUAUCAAACUUCAGGACUUAUUUCCAUGGCUCAUGGCUCACCUCAGAGAAAGGCACGAAAAUGGGAAGCCAAGUGUGGAGAGAGAGUGAAAGGGAUUCCCUAAGAACUGGAAUAUUCAGUGGGAAGUAUUGAGUGAAUGCCCCUCUCCAGUGAACAACUGCAAAAGUAAAUCCGCAUUAUGAAUACACAUAAUACAGAAAAAAAGAUAUUCACAUUGACCGUGCUCCAAUAUACUUCCAUCUGGAUUGAAAUUCACCUCUCUGGAGGAGGUGAGUGGUAUGUUUCAUCUUCAGGCUUCUGGACUUGUGAUUUGUCUUUACAUUGAUCACAUUUCUAAAGUCUUUCAGAGUAUAUAUUUCAUAUUUUCUAAAGUUUGGCUUGACUUGGGUCAAAACUAGAAGGAAUAGGUCCAAGGAGCAGAGCAGGAGAUUUAGGCUAUUUCCUACCAAUAGUUACAUUAACAUAGAAUGGGUUACUUUAGGAAGUGGUGAGUUCUCCCUCACUUGAUGUCUUCAAGACAAACCUGAAUGAGUACUUUCUGGGAAUACAAUAGAUACAAUAAGAAGGACUGGG
rnacentral:lncRNA from 1 species